UACGGAGGGAGGCUAGCGUUGUUCGGAAUUACUGGGCGUAAAGCGCGCGUAGGCGGCUUUGCAAGUCGGGUGUGAAAUCCCCAGGCUUAACCUGGGAACUGCAUUCGAGACUGCAUUGCUAGAGUAUGGGAGAGGGAAGUGGAAUUUCCGGUGUAGCGGUGAAAUGCGUAGAUAUCGGAAGGAACAUCAGUGGCGAAAGCGACUUCCUGGACCAAUACUGACGCUCAUGUGCGAAAGCGUGGGGAGCAAACAGG
rnacentral:rRNA from 1 species